GCGAAAGACAUCUUUUUUAGUGGUUUUUUUGUGAGUUGUAUUUUGCAAGUUCAAGUUAUAAACUUUAUCAAACCUAAAAUGUUUGUUUAAAGUUUGGAUUUCUUUAACGUUGUUCAAACUAAUUUUUUUAGUAAAAGCUUUUUUGGUUUGAGUUCGUGUGAGUUUGACGGAUUUUAUGGGUUUGUCCCAUUUUGACCCGACCAAACACGAACCCGUUGUCUAGAUGUACGUUAUUAUAUUUGAUCGAGUUUUUUUUUUUUUUUUUUUUUCACUACUGCUAGAUAUUCCUGCAUCCGUUGUGAUUAUACCCAAAAACUAUUAUGAACAUAUUAUAUUGUUACUUACGUCACACCAUUUUUCCUUGUGCGGUUUUAAUUUCUUCUAAAAUUAAAAAAGUUAAAUUACAUUGUUACCCCAACAAGUAAAAACUAUAAAAAGUGAAGUUGAGUCAUAGAAGAAAAGGCCAAAUAAGAAUGUAAUGGUCGAGAGAGAAGCAGCUGAAAAGGGAAGACGUGGGAAUCAUAUACCCUUGGUAAAGAAGCGAUGAUCAAAGGCUAACUUGCCUUUCUUAUAUGCUCAUCAUCCCCAAAAGAACCUUCCUUUUCCUUUGCAUUAUUAUUAUUCCACUCCAAAAUUCCUAAUUGUUUGUGUGUUUUCUUAAUAAUGUCAACUUCUUCUACAUUUUUGGUUUAUUUUCCAUCGUUAUGCGUUCUUUGCGAGUUUUUAUUUUCAUUUUACAGUUGUAUAAGUAAAGAGAGACCGAAUUCAUAUAUUCGAGAUGAUGAAUUUUCUUCCAUAAAAGUGAGGUCCCAUGUAUGCAUCUUUUAGUUUCGAGGUUAUAUGAAAAGAAAAGAGAAUUUUAGGUUCUCUUUUAUCUGCAUAUUUUAUUCCCGUUUAAGAUUUUCAUGUGUUCUGUUCUUCACCAUUUUGCUGAUAUUUAAAUGAAGUGAGACUAUUUUAACAUCGUAUUUUUUAUAUUUCUUUCUAAACGUUUCUAGGUGAUGAGGUUCUUAGUCUAAAUCUCUUUAAUUCACGUUUGUACAUUAACAUACAGAAUAUUUUCUAAGUGUAUAGAACCAAUGUUACUUCGGAUGAUUGCGGAAAGGUAAAGACAUGACCUUACACAUCCUCAUAUUUUGACUUAUGAUUUUGGGAGACUCUGAUGUUGAACAUGUAUUGAAAAAUAUGUUUGUAAACAAUUUGUAAAAUUGGUUGGUUUUAAAAAGUUUAAAAUUUUUCAUGGUUUU